CGCACGACUUAGGAUAAGUAAUGGUAUAUGUACUGUACUGGAUAAUAUGCAUUGAGGCUGACAGCGGUGACAUUCUACCAGGCAUUGCAUUUCAUCUCAUCAUUCGAUCAUCUGAGCAAGAUACGGAUCAAAUAAUAAGAUAUUAUCUUAGAGCUCUUUGAUCGAUUUUUGAACUUCAUCUUUGACUCCCUUGAUUCAAGAUGAAAUCUACUCAUCUGAGCAAUCCGUGCAUUAAAAAGCCUGGAUAGAAACAUUACAAACAGCCCGGCUGUCACGUAUGGUAUUAUCUGUUCUAACAUUAUUGUAAAUCAUCUGUUGGAUAUUAAUCAACGGAAGUUGAGGUGGAAUGCUUCUUUUGUUUUGCGGCCAUGCUCAUAGUGUGUUUUAUUUCUGUCGGGCCACAAACCCAACUCACAAGCAGAAGAAUUAAGUAAUGGAGCGCUUCCGUAGAAACACUUCAUAUCAACCACAAUAAACGAUGAAGAAAUUACAUACAUAUAAUAUAAUCAGUUUGGAUUACCAUUUAUUAUUGUUAAAAAUAAAAAUGUUCAAGGGAAUGAAAGAUUGUUUCUUUAGGCAUUGAAAAUAAAAUUAUUCGUGACAGGUUUUUUUUUCGUAGAUUGCACCACAAUUCAAGAAAGCCUAAAUAAAAUUUAUUAAAAGAUCUUGUGAGAUGUGUUCCAAGAAA